UACGUAGGCAGCGAGCGUUGUUCGGAAUUACUGGGCGUAAAGAGUGUGUAGGCGGUGUUCCCAGUCUGUUGUGAAAUCUCCCGGCUUAACUGGGAGGGUGCAGCGGAAACUAGAAUGCUAGAGGGUGGGAGAGGUAAGCGGAAUUCCUGGUGUAGCGGUGAAAUGCGUAGAUAUUGGGAAGAACACCUGAGGCGAAGGCGGGUUGCUGGGCUGAUACUGACGCUGAGGCGCGAAAGCCAGGGAGCAAACGGG
rnacentral:rRNA from 1 species